rnacentral:lncRNA from 1 species
UGUUAAACACUUAUAUUAAGGAUUUGAUGUUGAAAUUCUCCAUUUUCCUAAAAAAAAUUCUGGUUAUGUAAUGAAAAUGCUAUUUUUGAAAUUUUCCCAGAAAAAUGUUAUUUCUAUCCAUAUUUUGGUGACAGUUUUCAAUAUACAGAAUUUGGUGUCAUAAUUCAAUAUUGUGGAACUUUAGUAUCGUUUUUGUCAAACAUCUGAUUUUCAGAUUCUAAAGGUUUGAAUGAAGAUAUAUGACAAAUGUUAAAGCCUAUGUAUUGGACUAAAUUAUUUAUAGGGGUUGUGUAUAUACAAGCUAAGUUAUACCAUUUUUGUUAAACCCUAGAAUUUUAAUUAGAUUCUAGAGUAAAGAUAGUUUGGGAAAAUGACAGUUAUCACGAAUAUUCACUUGGAAGAAUGGUUUUAUGGAACAAAAUGUAAAUUUAAUUGGUUGAAUUAUGGUUAUUAGUUUUGCUAGAUUGGAAGAUGGGAUGAUUAUUCUCAUGAUUAGAAUAAAGGUUAUUGUUAUGAAUUAGCUAUUAGAUAAUGGACUAGAGGGUGGAAUUAGCUUAAAGUCAUUAAGGGAAAUUGGGGGAAAAUUAUUCAAGUAUCGAGAAAUCAAGUUUUAGAUUCGAUCAUCAAUAUUUAAAACUACUUAGAAGGAUAGUGGUUAAAUUAGUUUACAUUGUCUUUCAGGUGGUGGCGAAGAGUUGGGAAAAACUUGUCGACUAUCAUAACUAGUAGCUUGUUUAGAGUGAGUGAAUAUAAAACUUAUUUUUCUGAAAUUAUUUAUUUAUUAAAUUUACGUUAGAUUAGAAAAUUUACUUUUUCAGAUUUGACGGCAUGAUUUUUAGAAUAAAGUGGAUUUAUAAUCAGUUGUUUUUAAAGUUAAAUUCAGUUCAAUUAAAUCAUUUCAAUAGCAUGUUCCAUUCGUAUUACAUGUUUUAGUAUAUCUAAAGUUAUUUCUAAAAACCACCAGAAAGUACCCAAGUGAUUUUACCUCAGUUUGCACUGGUG